AGUCGCAUCAUAGCACGUUGAAUGCUUCAGUUUCCCAUGGAUCACUGAAGUUAAGCAACGAUGCGCGUGGUUAGUAUCAGGAUGGGUGACCAUGUGGGCAAUGGCUUUUCCCGGCCC
rnacentral:rRNA from 1 species